GGGGCUCCUCAUCCUCCGCGGCGGGAGGGAAGGCGAAGGGGGCCCGCUCCCCGCCGCGCUCCGCAGGCCGUUCCCGGGGCCCCCGACGGCUCCGGUAUAAACUGUCAUUUUUGAAACAUACAGAUUUACAACAAAAGUAUGACAACAAUAGAAUGUCUGAACAGAGAGCAUCUUCUGUGACUGCUCAGGAAAUCAAUGAAGUCUCCAACAACCACUAGCCACACUCCUUUUUGCAAGUUUCAACAAGCAUUCCGCAUGGAAAUACAAGCUGCACUGCUUUUGCCCACAGAGAGGAGUUCGGCUGCUAGCUGGAAAACGCUCAGCCCUCUGAACUGUUCCCCGGGCUAUUGCAGGAGCCUGUGAAGAAGUUGAAACUGGAGAUGGGGCAUUACUGUACAUGACAUAGUUGUCUUGUCCACGAGCGGUGGUAUAAGAACAUAAUGGAUAUAUUUUGACUGCUUUUCACCUAAGUACAUUGCCACAUCUCUGGGUUCUUACAAAUGACUCCUGGCAGGGUGAUGGAAUUCAUCGAUUCUCAUGUGCAAUGUACAAAAAAUCCCCCAAAUUUUCUUUCCUGAGCACAGUGAGAUCCUUAAGAGGUGCCACUUAAAAUGUAAAACCCACAUGAACUAGAAGUUGCUGGAAUUUGUAGAACUUGGACAUCUGCCUUUUAGGCAAUGGGCUUUUCUGUCUGAAGGAGUUAGAGGUUGUUAUCGCCAAACCAUUCCAAAGCUCCAAACCAGGUUAAUAAGUUCUGAGAAACAUGAUCCCUGCCCGCCUCAUCUCACAGAGCUUUUUGAAGUCUACAUCAGAAAGAAAAGUCUAACAAACCCACUUUGUUGAAACCUCUACAUUCAUCAUCUGCUCAAACAGCAUAGAAAUGUCUUGGUUUUGAGAACUUUCAGGAGUAUUUUGGGGAACAAACACGUUAUAUUUGAUUGAGUUUCCCUUCUGGUUUCACUCAGAAUUCCAUACAGACAA